rnacentral:misc_RNA from 1 species
UUUCCGUAGGUGAACCUGCGGAAGGAUCAUUCAUAAUAAAGUGUUUUAUGGCACUUUUUAAAAAUCCGUAUCCACCUUGUGUGCAAUGUUAGAUCUCGUCAAUCUUGGCGAGAUUUUUAUACAUCAACUCAUUCUUUAACUAAUUUGUCAGAAGAAUAUUAUGAAUACUUAAUUCAAAAUACAACUUUCAACGACGGAUCUCUUGGCUCUCGCAUCGAUGAAGACGCAGC